GACGAACGCUGGCGGCGUGCCUAACACAUGCAAGUCGAGCGGAGUCGAUCGACGGAAGCCUUCGGGCGGAAGAUGGUUGACUUAGCGGCGGAUGGGUGAGUAACGCGUGGGCAACCUGCCUCGAAGACCGGGAUAACAGCCCGAAAGGGCUGCUAAUACCGGAUGUGGUCAAAGAUCCGCAUGGAUUUUUGAUUAAAGGGGAAACCCGUUUCGAGAUGGGCCCGCGUCCUAUCAGCUAGUUGGUGAGGUAAAAGCUCACCAAGGCGACGACGGGUAGCCGGCCUGAGAGGGUGACCGGCCACACUGGAACUGAGACACGGUCCAGACUCCUACGGGGGGCAGCAGUGGGGAAUCUUCCACAAUGGGCGAAAGCCUGAUGGAGCGACGCCGCGUGAGCGAAGAAGGCCUUCGGUUGUAAAGCUCUGUCUGGAGGGACGAAGGAAGUGACGGUACCUCCGGAGGAAGCCACGGCUAACUACGUG
rnacentral:rRNA from 1 species